UACUCCACCUUUCUGCUGAAAUACAUGAGUUCAGACAUUGUCUGGAUCCACUGCAGAUGGGCUAAAAAUACCAAAAUAUCAGCACUCCAGCCAGCGCUCCAAGCAGGGAUUCUAGCAAUUCCCAUCAAUGUAUCAGGGUCGCGGGGGAGCCUGGAGCCUAUCCCAGGGAGCAUCGGGCACAAGGCGGGGUACACCCUGAACAGGGUACCAGUCCAUCGCAGGGCACACUCACACACACAUUCACACACCCAUUCAUACACUACGGACACUUUAGACACGCCAAUCAGCCUACCAUGCAUGUCUUUGGACUGGGGAGGAAACCGGAGUACCUGGAGCCGUGGGAAUCGAGCCCCAACCCUGGCAGUGUGAGGCGAACGUGCUAACCACUA
ensembl:lncRNA